rnacentral:rRNA from 1 species
GAUGAACGCUGGCGGCGUGCCUAAUACAUGCAAGUCGAGCGAACGGACGAGAAGCUUGCUUCUCUGAUGUUAGCGGCGGACGGGUGAGUAACACGUGGAUAACCUACCUAUAAGACUGGGAUAACUUCGGGAAACCGGAGCUAAUACCGGAUAAUAUUUUGAAUCGCAUGGUUCAAAAGUGAAAGACGGUCUUGCUGUCACUUAUAGAUGGAUCCGCGCUGCAUUAGCUAGUUGGUAAGGUAACGGCUUACCAAGGCAACGAUGCAUAGCCGACCUGAGAGAGGGAUCGGCCACACUGGAACUGAGACACGGUCCAGACUCCUACGGGAGGCAGCAGUAGGGAAUCUUCCGCAAUGGGCGAAAGCCUGACGGAGCAACGCCGCGUGAGUGAUGAAGGUCUUCGGAUCGUAAAACUCUGUUAUUAGGGAAGAACAUAUGUGUAAGUAACUGUGCACAUCUUGACGGUACCUAAUCAGAAAGCCACGGCUAACUACGUG